GCCAGUGUGGUGUAGUGGUUUGAGUGUUGGACUACGACUCUAGAAACCAGGAUUCGAUCCCUACUUUGUCA